GAUGAACGCUGGCGGCGUGCUUAACACAUGCAAGUCGAACGAAGCACUUUAUCUGAUUUCCUUCGGGACUGAUUAUUUUGUGACUGAGUGGCGGACGGGUGAGUAACGCGUGGGUAACCUGCCUUGUACAGGGGGAUAACAGUUGGAAACGGCUGCUAAUACCGCAUAAGCGCACGGCAUCGCAUGAUGCAGUGUGAAAAACUCCGGUGGUAUAAGAUGGACCCGCGUUGGAUUAGCUAGUUGGUGAGGUAACGGCCCACCAAGGCGACGAUCCAUAGCCGACCUGAGAGGGUGACCGGCCACAUUGGGACUGAGACACGGCCCAAACUCCUACGGGAGGCAGCAGUGGGGAAUAUUGCACAAUGGGCGAAAGCCUGAUGCAGCGACGCCGCGUGAGCGAAGAAGUAUUUCGGUAUGUAAAGCUCUAUCAGCAGGGAAGAUAAUGACGGUACCUGACUAAGAAGCACCGGCUAAAUACGUG
rnacentral:rRNA from 1 species